CAAUGAAAAGGGCAGUUGGGUCCAUAGGGCGGAGUUUCGAGUGGGAAGUCGGAGCCGAGGGAUGCGCGGGCUUUUUAAAAUCUGGAAGGAGCGUGGUUGCCGCGGCGGAGCAGCUCGUGACCUGUUAGCGUUCUCCGUCCUCUCUUGUGAUUACCGCACGAAUUUUGCUUGCUAACAACCGUUUCAGUUCUGCUUAGAAAUACGGGUCGGUCAAAGCCUGAGCAGAGUUCUUCCUUGGCGCCACACCUGCGACAUCUGCUGACCAAACAUCGUUAUUACAGCCUAAAAUCGUGUGCUUGCGGGUCGAUCGAGAUUAUCACACCCAGGACAAUCUUCAGAGAGGAUUUUAACGGAGGUAAUUUAUUUGAUAACUUUAAAUUUUCGAUUGAUUAAUAAAUAAUUUUUUAAAAUUUCCACGCCAAUGGCGGGUAACAUCACUUUUCACGGAAGUGGAGAUCUGCUCAUUUCUGCUAUUGGUGGAAUGCUAAGAGAGAUACGCAACCUAGCUGUGAUGGAUAUAUUUUUAGUUAUAAUUGUUAUUAGUCUGGUAAUUCAUACCCUAUCCUUUAGAAAGUGGUUUGAUGACAGUGCUAAAAAUGAGACUCUGACAAAGAUGGUACUGACUUUGCAACAUGGCAAUGAGAAAUUGGCUGAUAAACUGCAGGCAAUGGAAAAAAGUUAUGACAAGUUAUUAGAAAGAGUUCUGAAUUUAGAAAGUCAUUUGCAUGCCGAACAGAUAAUCAAUAAGGAAGACAAAGCAGACUUGAGAAACAAGUUGAAAAGUUUAGAGACAUACGUGAAUGAGGAAAACAAGAAGCAUACUGGUUUAAUGAAGGCUUUAGAAGCACUCACUAUUAAAGAGGUGAAGACAUUACAAGAAGCAACUACUCAUAGAUUCCAAGCCCUAGAAGAACUUGUUAACGAUCAGACAGAGACAGAAGAAGUCGUAAAGAAGUCAACCUCAGUGGUACCUCAUAAAACUAGAGGGUUGAAUUCUGGUUGGUAUUAAUAGAAACUCAGAGACAGAUACUGGGGUUAAAGCUGAAGAUCAGAGGAGCAAAGCAGCCAGUCACUAACUCCGCUACCUCAGACUGAAUCUGACUGCAUCUGUCUCCACCAAAGCUCAGACUGUUCUGACCUCCUGAUCCCACUCACCUUAUAUUCCACUCCAGUGCUGGAAUUAAAGGAAAAGAAAAAAACUAAGGCUGGCUUUGGAGUUAGGCUCUCUCCUCUAAAUCCAAGAAGUUGUUAAAAGAAAAAUUCAGAGUUUCUGUCUCAUCAGAAGAGCCACCUGGUGUGGGACAAAAGAAAACCAAACUUGAAGUCUCCAGAAGGAAGAUAGGGCCCACAACUAUUCUACCUGGCUCAUAAACACCACUCAAAGAUCGGCUUGGGACUACAAACUGCUCGAGACAGUUCCAAGGUGGCUAGCUGAGAUUCUCCACCUUCUUAAAACACUAGCCAGAAACUUCAGAUAAGAACUUCAAAGACUGGCUACAAAUGUUACAUCUAGAACUCCAUUGCUUUACUUUUCUUAUGGGAUCCCAUAGGGAAACCGUGGUCCCCUGGACAGCAGGAAGCAAUUCUAAGAAUGCACCGCCCCCUCUCCCAUAGGUGGGGCGGGUGGGUUUUUGGUUUUUCUCAGGGUUGUGGAUAGUUGUCAUCUGUAAGGGUUGGUUGCAAGUUGUUAUAGGACUAGGUGUGGGGGAAUAAAGGAGAAAAGAGGGAUAGACAGGCUAUCACAAUAAGGUGGAUUAUUGUAUCUACUUGUAACUUGAAAUACAACGAUCAGUUUUAGAUAAUUUGCAAUGGUGUGGAUUCUUGUAUAUUGAUACAAAUGUAAAAUUAUUUUUCCAUUCCUGUUUAUGAUAAUUUCUGCUUAUAAUUUUCUGUUGACAGAAAAAAAUGUAAAAUUAUUGUCAUUUUAUACAUCUUUCUACUUCUGUUCAAGAUAUUUUGUAUGUUGAUACAAAUUAAGGAUUUUUUUGUCAUAUUGCACUAUGCAUUUAUACCUCUGUUAUUUCUUGCAUCUUUUGGAAGUCGCUUACUUGCAUUUCCUGCUUACUGAGGUAUUAUUUUCCUUCUCAGGUCUUUGAUGGGGUUGAAGACUAGAUAGUUACAUACCUUAGCUAGGGCAUGUUAGGUACAAGACUUGGACUUUCCAUGAUAGGACAGCUAUUGGAGAAAUCUUUAAUUUGCCACUUACCCAUGGCCUGGACAUCCUUGCUUGAUGUACUUGUUGGUUGUAGUUUUAUUUUUGUUUAUGCUAUUACCUGUUCUACACAAUACUUGAUACUUGUUCUUAUUGUAAAUAGUUUUGUUAGUUUUGUUAGGAUUAGAAGAACUUAUUUAGAAAGAAAGGGGAAGUGUUGGGGAUUUCCAUCAGUUUAGCCAAUGACUUUUUUUUUUUUUUUUUGGUUUUUCAAGACAGGGUUUCUCUGUGGCUUUGGAGGCUGUCCUGGAACUCGCUCUGUAAACCAGGCUGGCCUCGAACUCACAGAGAUCCGCCUGCCUCUGCCUCCCGAGUGCUGGGAUUAAAGGCGUGCGCCACCAACGCCCGGCCUAGCCAAUGACUUUUGGGGCCACAAACUCUCUCCCUUUCUUGGAGUAAGAGGCGGCUUGCUGUUGGUGCUCUUUUUUUACUCCUGGGCAGACUGGAUGAAGGCAGCUGAUCAGUGGUGGCAUCUAACUGGUUCUGUAUCAUGUGUGUGUCCUAUCCUAUGCAUAAAUAAAUUUCCAAAACUCUUAA